rnacentral:sRNA from 1 species
CCUUAGUUCAGAUUGCAGUGAAAAUCCUUUUUGUGUUGGGGUUCGGCACAAAAGAUUGUAACGGAAAGCGGGACCAUAU